CGCACGUUCUUUCUUCCCACUUCCGUCUUCCUCUUGUGAAGGUAUGUGGGUUGUUGGACCAUGGAGUUUUCCUAUAGUGCUUUCUCAGAUUUUGAUCAUACUGGAGCCAAAUGGAUAACCUUAAAUUCAUCAGGCUUCGUUUCAGAAGUCUUUAACACUCUAAAACCGGAAGAAUUCUGUAAUUCAAGAGGACCACACGAGUGACCCUUGACGAAUGGCCACAUGUGAAGGAGUUUGAGCGAUCUGUGCUCCUGAAGGCCCUUCAGUGCCAACCCCACGUGGAGCAGUGGAUGAAGUACACGAUGGGUUUUCUCCAAGCAGUCGUGUUUACCAGCCGUAGGGGAGGAAGUGCCUUUUGAGCGCAUUAAAGUUGCUUCUAUUUUGACCUACUAGUGUUCCAACAUGCUGUUUUUGAAGAGGCAUUCAAGUUUGUUCAAUUUUAACUUCUCAGAAUGCUGUCACUAAUUAUUGCUUGUAGCUUGUUUGUUCUAUGCAAGUGUAAAUAGUCUGGCAGUUACCUUUUACAUUUUCAAUAAAACUAAGCCAUGAACUGAACUUUACAUUUA